CGCUCACGAGAAGCCUUUGUGGCCCCGAAAGGGGUUACCCGCCGCGACUGUAAACAAUGGAUGUGGGUAUUAAACGCAAGUCAGCAGUAACUGCUGGCAACACUUUCGAAUUGACGGGGACGUCCUAAAGCCCACUCUACCAACCGGUUGGAGAAAUCCUGCCGGGGCCCAUGUUAGCAGCAUGGGGGAUGGUAAUAAGGAGUGGGAUACAGGCCGGUUCAACGGCCGCCAUGGACAAUCCGCAGCCAAGUUCCUAAAGUCCUGACCAAGGGCCAUGGAAAAGGUUCACAGACUAAGUGGAAGUGGGUUGGUUGCACGCCGUGCACCAGCUUAAGAUAUAGUCGGGCCCUGUUUGAAAGCUCAGGGGAGUCACAUGACAUCAACAACGUUCCGUAGGUGAACCUGCGGAAGGAUCAUUACCAAAAGGCGAGAAAUCGCUUUUCUACCUGCUCGGUGACCCUCUGGGUCGCUGACUGGUCAACCCUUUGUGAACCAAAAAAACCUUUCGCUUCGGCAGCUGGGCCUCACCGGCCUGUCAGCCUGCCGUUAGCACCUUUACACAAAAAACUCGUCUGUCAAAACAUUGUCUGAUAACCAAAUUUUCGAAUGAAAAUCAAAACUUUCAACAACGGAUCUCUUGGUUCCCGCAUCGAUGAAGAACGCAGCGAAACGCGAUAGUUAAUGUGAAUUGCAGAAUUCAGUGAAUCAUCGAGUCUUUGAACGCACAUUGCGCCCAUUGGUAUUCCUUUGGGCAUGUCUGUUUGAGCGUCAUUACAACCCUCAGCUAACCGCUGGUUUUGAACCUGACCGGGUAACACCGCGCUGGUUUUAAAGUUGUAAGCUCUGCUGGCCGCUCUGCCAAAACAGAACAUAGUAAGCACUACUUGUCCGGGUGAAGCUGGGGCGGUUAACCGGCCUGAACAAAACCUACCCUUUACUUUCAAGGUUGGACCUCAGAUCAGACA
rnacentral:rRNA from 1 species